rnacentral:rRNA from 1 species
GACGAACGCUAGCUACAGGCUUAACACAUGCAAGUCGAGGGACCGGCGCACGGGCGAGUAACGCGUAUCAAACCUACCCAUAACUAAGGGAUAACCCAGCGAAAGUUGGACUAAUACCUCAUGGUUAUGGAUGGGGAUGCGUCUGAUUAGCUUGUUGGUGGGGUAACGGCCCACAAAGGCUACGAUCAGUAGGGGUUCUGGGAGGAAGGUCCCCCACAUUGGACGUGAGACACGAUCCAAACUCCUUCGAGAGGCAGCAGUGGGGCAUCUUGGUCAGUGGACGGAAGUCUUAACCAGCCAGGUAGCGUGCAGGAUGACGGCCUCUGGGUUGUGAACUGCUUUUAGAUGGGGAUGGGUACCAUAUGAGUAAGGGCCGGCUAAUUCCGUGCCAGCAGCCGCGGUAAUAC